rnacentral:rRNA from 1 species
CGUAGGGGGCUAGCGUUGUCCGGAAUCAUUGGGCGUAAAGAGCGUGUAGGCGGCCCGGUAAGUCCGCUGUAAAAGUCAAAGGCUCAACCUUUGAAUGUCAGUGGAUACUGCCGGGCUAGAGUCCGGAAGAGGCGAGUGGAACUCCUGGUGUAGCGGUGGAAUGCGCAGAUAUCAGGAAGAACACCAACGGCGAAGGCAGCUCGCUGGGACGGUACUGACGCUGAGACGCGAAAGCGUGGGGAGCGAACAGGAUUAGAUACCCUGGUAGUCCACGCCGUAAACGAUGGGCACUAGGUGUGGGAGGUAUCGACUCCUCCCGUGCCGGCGCUAACGCAUUAAGUGCCCCGCCUGGGGAGUACGGCCGCAAGGCUA